GAUGAAGAACGUAGUGAAAUGCGAUACUUGGUGUGAAUUGCAGAAUCCCGCGAAUCAUCGAGUUUUUGAACGCAAGUUGCGCCCGAAGCCAUUCGGCCGAGGGCACGUCUGCCUGGGUGUCACGCAUCGUUGCCCCCCCAAACUUCGGUUCGGGCGGGGCAGAAGUUGGCCUCCCGUGCGUGCCUGCGCGUGCGGUUAGCCCAAAAGCGAGUCCUCGACGACGAGCGCCACGAAAAUCGGUGGUUUUUUUGCCCUCGUUCCUCGUCGUGCGUGCCCCGUCGCCCGAACGCGCUCUUGCGACCCUCACGCGUCGCCUCGGUGGCGCUCCCAACGCGACCCCAGGUCAGGCGGGACUACCCGCUGAGUUUAAGCAUAUCAAUAAGCGGAGGA
rnacentral:misc_RNA from 1 species